rnacentral:tRNA from 1 species
UCCCUGGUGGCUCAAACGGUAACGUGUCCGCUUGCAAUGCAGGAGACCCAGGUUCGAUCCCUGGUUUGGGAA